AAAGCACGGUGAGAGCAUUUUCUAAGUAUUUCCAUAAAAUUUUCCCAUCUUUCAUAAAUGGAUUCUCCUUCAAACUGAGUUAAAGAACUUAUUUCAUUUCUAUAUUU